rnacentral:rRNA from 1 species
UACGGGGGGGGCAAGCGUUGUUCGGAAUUACUGGGCGUAAAGGGCUUGUAGGUGGCCAACUAAGUCAGACGUGAAAUCCCUCGGCUUAACCGGGGAACUGCGUCUGAUACUGGAUGGCUCGAGUUUGGGAGAGGGAUGCGGAAUUCCAGGUGUAGCGGUGAAAUGCGUAGAUAUCUGGAGGAACACCGGUGGCGAAGGCGGCAUCCUGGACCAACACUGACACUGAAAAGCGAAAGCCAGGGGAGCAAACGGG